AAAGCGAGCGGCGGAUGGGUGAGUAACACGUGGGGAACCUGCCCCUAAGUCUGGGAUACCAUUUGGAAACAGGUGCUAAUACCGGAUAAUAAAGCAGAUCGCAUGAUCAGCUUUUGAAAGGCGGCGUAAGCUGUCGCUAAGGGAUGGCCCCGCGGUGCAUUAGCUAGUUGGUAAGGUAACGGCUUACCAAGGCGACGAUGCAUAGGCGAGUUGAGAGACUGAUCGGCCACAUUGGGACUGAGACACGGCCCAAACUCCUACGGGAGGCAGCAGUAGGGAAUCUUCCACAAUGGACGCAAGUCUGAUGGAGCAACGCCGCGUGAGUGAAGAAGGUUUUCGGAUCGUAAAGCUCUGUUGUUGGUGAAGAAGGAUAGAGGUAGUAACUGGCCUUUAUUUGACGGUAAUCAACCAGAAAGUCACGGCUAACUACGUGCCAGCAGCCGCGGUAAUACGUAGGUGGCAAGCGUUGUCCGGAUUUAUUGGGCGUAAAGCGAGCGCAGGCGGAAAAAUAAGUCUAAUGUGAAAGCCCUCGGCUUAACCGAGGAACUGCAUCGGAAACUGUUUUUCUUGAGUGCAGAAGAGGAGAGUGGAACUCCAUGUGUAGCGGUGGAAUGCGUAGAUAUAUGGAAGAACACCAGUGGCGAAGGCGGCUCUCUGGUCUGCAACUGACGCUGAGGCUCGAAAGCAUGGGUAGCGAACAGGAAUUAGAUACCCUGGUAGUCCAUGCCGUA
rnacentral:rRNA from 1 species